GGGGAUGUGGUCUAGUGGUAUGACGUUUCCUUCGCAUUGUUUCGAUGCAUGGUAAAGGUUCUGGGUUCGAUUCCCAGCUUCUCCA